rnacentral:lncRNA from 1 species
AUGAGAAGUAAUUUAUUUAGUUUCUAUAUGUGUAUGUGUGAUUUUGUACAAAUGGUUUCUACAUGUUUCCAAACCAGGAGCUGUUGCUUCCAUGUUUGGGUUGAUGCAGAAUUAGGGAGUGAUGUCUAUCUGGACGGUAUUGUCACAGUUAUAGAUGCUAAAUAUGGGAUGCAGGUAAGUUGCUGCUCCAUUCUGUCAAACCAAAGACUAAAUAACUUAUGGAAACUAAUAUUUUGAAGUUAAUUUUUUUAUUUUUUUCCAGUACAGGAAUUUAAUUGAGGCACACACACAAAAAAAAGCACCAAAUAGAAACAGAAUGGUAUUUUUUUUAUUUAUUUUGUAAAUAAUAAUGUAUAAAUAUUCAACAUUUUCAUAAAUUAUAUUUUAAUAAAAUGGUAUUUUUUUUAUUUAUUUUAGUAAAUAAUAAUGUAUAAAUAUUCAACAUUUUCAUAAAUUAUAUUUUAAUAAACAUAAGUGAGCCAUUUAAAAAAACUAUUAAAAAUUAAUAGAACAAUAAUUAAAUAUGUAUAUAAAAUGUAAAUGACUAUGAAAAAUCUAUAUAUCAAUAAGUUAAAUAAUAUUUAUAUUAAAGUAAACGCAUCAAUGAUCCUGAUAGCCAUAAUAAAUUAUACAACAUUUAAUAGAAAAAUACAGUUUAAAUAUAUUGAUAUUAUAAUGCUUCAAUAUUUAAAAUGUAUUUUGUGUUGUAAAUCAUAGAGUUAAGUGUGUUGGCCAUGAAUUGAUUAAAGACGUAUUGUUAUAUAUAAUGCUUUACAUGGAAAAAACAGUAAUCAAACACAAAGUUGGGUCCAUGGUAUUGAAGGCAUUACAUUUUACUUGGUCUUAACAGAAAAUUAUUUUAUUUUAAGUAUUGCGUGUCCUACUGAAGUAUCUCCCCCCUUGCUUUUCCUCUUCACACGUCAGGCUGGGAGCAGGACAAGGGGUACUGACACCUGGAUAAUAGGCUGCAAUUUAGUGGUGUCAGUCUAAUUUAGUGGUGUCAGUCUUGGCAAGUCAGUCUUUUAUUGCAGAGGUGGCACCUCUCGGCACUGCGGCCCGUCUGGGGUUCUGUGAGCGCCUGUUGAUGUGAAGACAGGGAGGGCUUGAUAGAAACUGAAGAAAUAAUGGAUAUCAAGGCAAAUCACUCUAAUGGGCCUGUCAGACUUUGUCCUGCUCUUUCAUUGUCAUCUGAUAUAUUCAUCCAUACAAGAGAGACUUCGGGUGGUUUGAAAUUUGUGCAGACAGAUGAUGAGGCUUGUCUCACUCCCAGAGCUCAAUGUUAUUACAUAUUGAACACAGACAAUGAGAAAUGCCUCCUCCCAGUCAGCAGAAAUGACUAGCAACACGCACAAGAAAAUAAAUGGGAUUGUUUUCAAUAAGCAAACUGUUCAGAAGUUGUAAUAUCCUGGAAAUUGGAUUUCUUUCAGCGAGUUUGCAUCUUGUAAUCGCAAAGUUGUCAGUUUGCUCAUCUGCAGUGAUGUUAAAGAUGUAUUUUCGGGAAGAAAUUUGGACGGAACAGAAGUGCAGAAGUAUACAGAAGCUAAUGAGACAUGAAAUGUUCUUAUCGUUCUAUUAGAUCUUAUAAAUGAUAAAGUCCAGACUCUAAAUUCUGGUUGGAUAAGCCACAUUCAAAGCUACCAAAAAAUAGCUAAUAUGCACACACUCCUGUGACUGAAUAUCAAUUGUGUGUCACUUUGGCUUGCUGUAUUGCCUUGCAACUAUCAACAGCAUACUCUUAGUCUAAUAAGUGAUUUUACCUAUAUUGUCUGUAGAAUUAUUUGUUCUGGUCAAUAUUAUAUAUAAAGUUAUUUAUUUACUGCACUUUGGCAAAAUGGCAUAGCAUAUAUUUUACAUUGUUAAAGCAAUAAACCACUCAGUGCCAUGAUUAGAAGUCUUAAGCAUGAAAGUACAUCAAGCUUUGUUGCUUUAUUUGAAGAUGUAACAAAGCAUUUGUGUUUGUACUUUUAUAUUUAAGAUGAUAAAUAUAAUAGUGAUGUACCAGUUUUGUUUUUCCAUUGUUUUAACCAUUAAAAAUAUGCCAAUAAUAAUAUUUGUUUUUCUAUUCAAAUUCAAUACUAUUUUUUGGAAAUACAUUUUAAAUUAAACACUGAAACCAUUUUUGAUAAUUAUUUUUAUCUAAAAUAAUUAUAUAUAAAA